GCCCAGGUGGCGGAAUUGGUAGACGCGCACGGUUCAGGUCCGUGUGCCGCAAGGUGUGAAGGUUCGAGUCCUUUCCUGGGCACCA
rnacentral:tRNA from 5 species